rnacentral:rRNA from 1 species
GAACGCUGGCGGCGUGCCUAAUACAUGCAAGUCGAACGCACAGCGAAGGUGCUUGCACCUUUCAAGCGAGUGGCGAACGGGUGAGUAACACGUGGACAACCUGCCUCAAGGCUGGGGAUAACAUUUGGAAACAGAUGCUAAUACCGAAUAAAACUUAGUGUCGCAUGACAUAAAGUUAAAAGGCGCUUCGGCGUCACCUAGAGAUGGAUCCGCGGUGCAUUAGUUAGUUGGUGGGGUAAAGGCCUACCAAGACAAUGAUGCAUAGCCGAGUUGAGAGACUGAUCGGCCACAUUGGGACUGAGACA